AUUGAACGCUGGCGGCAGGCCUAACACCUGCAAGUCGGGCGAGCGGCGGACGGGUGAGUAAUGUAUGGGGACUGCAUGAUGGCGGGGGAUAACUACUGGAAACGGUAGCUAAUACCGCAUACUAUCAGAUAACCGAUAUGGGAUUAGCUUGUAGGUGAGGUAACGGCUCACCUAGGCGACGAUCCCUAGCUGGUCUACGAGGAUGAUAACCCACACUGUGACGUAACCACCUACCAGACUCCUGCGGAGGCAGCAGUGGGGAAUAUUGCACAAUGGGUGGAAGCCUGAUGCAGCGAUGCAGCGAGGAUGAAGAAGGCCUGAGGGUUGUAAUGUACAUGCAGUCGGGAGGCGUUACCGUCAGAAGAACCACCGGCUAAGUCCGUGCCAGCAGCCGCGGUAAUUC
rnacentral:rRNA from 1 species